CGCGGAGAGGUGUAACGGUUGCACCGAAGUCUCAUAAACUUCAGGCAGUUGGUUCAAUUCCAACCUCCGCUC
rnacentral:tRNA from 1 species